UACGUAGGGUGCAAGCGUUAAUCGGAAUUACUGGGCGUAAAGCGUGCGCAGGCGGCUUUGCAAGACAGAUGUGAAAUCCCCGGGCUCAACCUGGGAACUGCAUCCGAGACUGCAUUGCUAGAGUAUGGGAGAGGAAAGCGGAAUUUCUGGUGUAGCAGUGAAAUGCGUAGAUAUCAGAAGGAACAUCAGUGGCGAAAGCGGCUUCCUGGUCCAGCACCGACGUUCAGGCACGAAAGCGUGGGGAGCAAACAGG
rnacentral:rRNA from 1 species